rnacentral:rRNA from 1 species
CCCUUAGAUGUUCUGGGCCGCACGCGCGCUACACUGACGAAGUCAGCGAGCAUGUCCUACGCCGACAGGUGCGGGGAAUCUUGUCAAACUUCGUCGUGAUGGGGAUUGAUUAUUGAAAUUCUUGAUCAUCAACGAGGAAUUCCUAGUAAGCGCAAGUCAGCAGCUUGCGUUGAUUACGUCCCUGCCCUUUGUACACACCGCCCGUCGCUACUACCGAUUGAAUGGUUUAGUGAGAUCUUCGGAUUGGCGCCACUGCGGCUCAGCAAUGGGCUCGGUGGAUGCCGAAAAGUUGAUCAAACUUGAUCAUUUAGAGGAAGUAAAAGUCUUAACA